CUACGUGCCAGCAGCCGCGGUAAUACGGAAGGUCCAGGCGUUAUCCGGAUUUAUUGGGUUUAAAGGGAGCGUAGGCGGAUUAUUAAGUCAGUGGUGAAAGACGGUGGCUCAACCAUCGUUAGCCAUUGAAACUGGUAGUCUUGAGUGCAGACAGGGAUGCUGGAACUCGUGGUGUAGCGGUGAAAUGCUUAGAUAUCACGAUGAACUCCGAUCGCGAAGGCAGGUGUCCGGGCUGCAACUGACGCUGAGGCUCGAAAGUGUGGGUAUCAAACAGGAUUAGAUACCCUGGUAGUCCACGCCGUAAACGAUGAGUGCUAGGUGUUAGACCCUUUCCGGGGUUUAGUGCCGCAGCUAACGCAUUAAGCACUCCGCCUGGGGAGUACGACCGCAAGGUUGAAACUCAAAGGAAUUGACGGGGGCCCGCACAAGCGGUGGAGCAUGUGGUUUAAUUCGAAGCAACGCGAAGAACCUUACCAGGUCUUGACAUCCCUCUGACCGCUCUAGAGAUAGAGUUUUC
rnacentral:rRNA from 1 species